AUCGAAGCACUCUCCCUCCGCGGCUAUUUGGUUUGGGAAACCUUUCAUUUCUUCAUCGUGAAAUUUUAGACGGAGAGAGUCGCUGUUUGGAACCGACUCGUGUCAUCCCUGUCUCCGCGAAAUCGGAAUACAAUGGCUAUGAUCACCAGAAAAACCCCCCCUCGCCUCCCUAUCCUCCCCGACAACCACCCGGCUGGCCACCCCGUGCUGGCCUCGCAGCUGCUCUCCACACCACCGUCCCCUCACCAUCCCCUGAUAACGCAACCAAACCGACUUCCUACGCCCCGCCACCGCCUCCGGCCAACUCUUCCCUCGGCGCUCGCUCCCAACCCGCCCAGACGCGGUUGGCCUCUCCAAGACGGCCGAGUUCGUGAUCUCCAAGGUCGAUGAUGUCAUCAACUAUGUCCGCCGAGGAUCCAUCUGGCCAAUGACUUUCGGGCUCGCUUGCUGCGCUGUCGAGAUGAUGCACACGGGUGCGGCUCGCUACGAUCUGGAUCGGUUUGGUGUCAUUUUCAGGCCUAGCCCUCGCCAGUCUGAUUGUAUGAUUGUCGCCGGUACCUUAACUAACAAGAUGGCUCCUGCUCUCCGCAAGUAAGUCGAUUCCCUGAUUUCUAGGGUUCCGUUUCCUGAGCUGAUAUUGCGAUGGUGAUUAAUUGAUGAUCUGCAUUUUGGUUUUGAAGGAUUUAUGAUACGGUGAAAUUGUUCAAUUCAAUAUGUUUGGUUUUACUUUAGGAUGAGUUUUCUGUUGUGAUGAAUGAAUGCACUUAUAAUGCUUGAAUUGGAUGGUCCAUUUACUGGGGAGAGUGAAGAGAGAUUGCAUUGCUGGACUAUUGAUCAAAGUAAUGUUCUUGUUGCUUUCAGACUCAACUUGGUUCAAAGCAUUUACUUUAUGGUUUGAGACUUGGAGGUUUCGAUAAUCUUGCUCGGUUGAACUUAGGCAUAAGCACAAAGUAGAGAUCACUAAGGCUGUGAUGUGGAAUGGCUCUAUUUUUGUUUGAGUUUUCGUUUCAUUAGUUACUACUGGAAGUUUAGAGUAGAGUAUGGUGUUCAUCAGGCUUUUUAAACUGCAAAGGAACUGUUAGCUGAUUUACACUGUUAUUACCAAAAGCCCAGUGGAGGGAUCUCUCCUCCACUAUGCUGCUAAAGUUGUGUUGCUAUUUGUCAAUAACUAAUAGAAUUUGGCUGUCUAUGGUUUGAUUGCGUAAAGCUGUUAUCUUGCAUCACCAUUUCAUAUAUGUAAUGAUAUUUGUUUCCCCAGCAGCUUCCCUAGACUAGUUCUGGAUCGGUAAGGUUAUAUCACCCCUGUAACAUGCUUUAUCAUCAUUAGGAGAAACGUUAGCAGUAUCUUAGGAUGAGAGGGUUUUGCGUGGCGUCAGCUGCAAGGUGGCUUAUAGAUUUAAGUACUCACUCUGAACCGAGUUGCUCCCUCUUGAGUGCCUGCAUUAGUUGAAUAUCCAGACUUUGGUAUAUAAAGCCCAAAGGAGGGAGCUCCUAUAUGGUGUCACUGACUAAUAUUACUCGAAGCACUUUGCUGGUUUGUGGCGUGAAUAUGAGCUGACGAUGUAAUGUGUGUGUACACAGGGUGUACGACCAAAUGCCGGAGCCGAGAUGGGUAAUCUCCAUGGGGAGCUGUGCAAAUGGUGGCGGUUACUAUCACUACUCGUACUCUGUUGUACGCGGUUGCGACAGGAUUGUCCCUGUCGACAUAUAUGUUCCAGGGUGCCCUCCCACUGCCGAGGCACUACUCUAUGGGAUCCUCCAGCUGCAGAAAAAGAUCAACAGACGCAAAGAUCUCAUGCAUUGGUGGACAAAAUAAGACUUCAUUCUCAAAGACACUGCUCGGGGAAGGAGCUUUGGCAGCAGCAGCAGCAUCAGCAGAUACUAUGCUCUAAUAAUACAGUUCUGUUACGCUUGUUAUCUGUUAAUUAAGUAGGUGUGCGAGGAUAUAAAAGUCUUUUCCGGCGCCUGUUCAUGUAAUCUGGGAAUGCCUCGAGUAUCCAGUUCUCGUUCUUCGAAGCGCAUUGACUUGUUUGCAUAUUUGAUUUGUGAACUUGAAGUUUGAAAAGGAGGUUGUGGAUUGUGAUGGUUAUUAAGUGGAGAAAAUAAAGAGCUUGUAAAGACUUUGUUCACUUCUUGUGCUUCAAUUGUGAUUGGUAGAUCUUGUUUAUUCUGGUUUUUUCUGGGCGAAAGAGUUUUAAUUACUGUCAUGAUUCAACCCUACAAAAAAAAAACUGGGAAGAAUAUGCAAAUAAUAAUAUGACUGCAGGUAAAAAGUGAAUUAGGCUAAACUCUCAAUUGCUAAAAGUAAUUAACAUCUUCAAAAUCAGUCGUUAACUUUAGAUUGUUUUAAGGUCGAAUCAUGAACAACCCUUUUGUCUCCUUCACUCUCUUUGACUCACUUGUUCAUUCAGAAAAGGAAAUUCCUGGGUUUUGGUUUUUAGUUUGCUAAACAUCUCAAGUAAGCUGAUUGAUGAAUCUCACAUUCAACAUUCGUUUCAAUUUAGUUAUGUUAGACUAUGUUAAUGGCUAUUGCAUCUGAUUAUAUCCUUGCAACGAAGAAAGAGAAAGAACGUUCAUAUCGACUUUGGUAAUGUCAUAGAUAUUAGACUUUUUCCUCUCUUUUCUCAUUGAACUCUGUCUAAGGAAGUAUCUCUGUGCAUGGCUUGCCAUCUGCGUGGAUGCUUUUGACACCACUAUAUUCUUUGAUAUGCUCCUCCAAUCUCCCUUCGCGUAUUUACUCAAUCUGAUCAGAAACAACAUGCAUACAUUUAAUUUUUUCCUAUUUAGAUAUACCUUUAAGUAUGAGCAAGCUAUAGUAAGCCCUAUUUGUAGUUUGAUGACGAUAAUGAUCAUAUGCAAAGUUUUUUUUUAAUGAUGAACUGAAUACCGAAUUGUUAUCUGACUUUCGUAAUAGACAUGAAAUGUGUGUGUCGCCUUUCAUUUGAAUUAUAGUGCAUCUGCCUAUAUGUUGUUAAUUUAUUAAUCAGCUUAUUUUGCAAACUAUAUUACUUCUCUUGUCUGCCUUUGCAUGUAUUUUAAAUAAAUUUAAACACGGGUUGUGCAUCCUCUGCUCCCACAGUAGCAGAGCACAUGCCCCACAACCUAGUUUAAAUUAGGGCUGCAUACGAGCCGAGUCGAACUUCUAUUCGGCUCGUUAAAUUUUUUCCGAUUCGAGCUCGGCUCAUUUAAGAAAUCUUGAGUUCAAGCUAGAUUUUAGCUCGGUUCGUUUAAAUAUAUUGGCGAGCUUACAAUCGAGCUCGAGCUCGGCUUGUUUAAGAAAUUCGAGUUUGAUUCGUUUAAAUGUAUCAACGAACUCGAGCUUCAAUUUGAUUAUAAGCUCAUUAGCUUGAGCUCGGAUGUACGUUAAUUAGUAGAGUUCAUUUGCUUACAUCGAAUUAUGAGAAACGAACAUAAAACUUAACAUAUAUUAUCAAUAAACUCUAGAUCUUAAUAUAUAUCAUACUUUAUGAUCUCGCAAUAACUUCUAAAUCCUACUUUAAAUUGUUAUAAAGUUUAGUUUACAUAUUAGGGGUAAUGAUUUAUUAAGAAAAUAUAUGUUUGGGUUACGAUUUUUUGAUAGAGUUUAUGUUACGAUUUGAAAUUUAGGAAUUACGUAUAGGAUUUACGGUGUAGAUUGUGUGUUUCACCCUCUAUAUAUGUUUCAACAAAUCUUAAGUCUUAACGUAAAUCGUAUAAAAUUGAAAAACUGUACACUUCAUAAUUGCCACGGUUGUCUCUUACACAAGUGAUAUAACAUAUAACUAUAUAAAAAUAUAUUGAACCAAUCAAGCAAGCGUGUUGAGCUAAACUUGACAAUCUUGGCCGUUAAAUCGCUUAACCGAUCGUAAUCUGACCAAGUUUGACGGUUAUUAACCGUGUUGACUAGGUAUUUUGAGGUUACAAUUAUAACCGUUAACCGCUAAGAAUGGGUAAGGUUAGGUUAUGAGUUUCAUAGUAACCGGACCAUCACCAUAACCAAACUCAUAACCAUUAUCAAUCCACAACUUAACCUCUAUUUACCCACAUUACUAAAUAGUUGAAACUCAAUAAUAUUCAACACCCAACCCAAUAACACGAGGGAAAUCUAAUGCCCGCUGACAUUUGGCGAAGUCCACUCAUUAACCCAUAAUGCUACUAUUGAUUUUCGUAAAUGCCUUUUCAAGGUUUGAAUUGGACUUCAAAAAUUUUAUAUUAAUGGCUGUGUAUGCAUAUUUUAGAUUAAUGGAUGUGUAAGUAUUUUUUUUUCGUUUUACAAUUUUUUUGGCAUAACGGUGAAUAAUCGUUAGGAGCGGUUAUAACCGUAACCGGAUGGGUAUGGAGAUUGAACUAAACCUGUCACCGAAAUGGAAACAUGUAUGGUUAUGGUUAAUAACCGCCACAAAGGUGGAUGGGUAAUGGGUAUGUCAUAAUCAUCCCCAAACCUCCCUAUUGUCAAACCUAUUGAGCCAUAUAUAAUAACUAGUGUAAACAUCUUUAACCAUAAACAAACAUGUUCACGAACCUAGUGCGACGAGCCAACGAUCCAAACCGGCUCAUUAACCAUAAACGAACAUGUUCGAACCUGGUUUGACGUGACACGAGCUGAGUCGGCUCGCGAAUCAUCCGAGCCGAAUACCUUGCGCCUCAUGCUCGAUUCAUCAAGCUUUAGAACCGGCUCGCAAAUUGGUUCAUUUCAAACCGAUUCGAAUUACGAAUAAUAAAUUUUCCGAACCGAACGCAGAACGAAUCACGAACCUUUGAUUGCAUGCAGUACUAAUCUAAAUUAAAGAACAGUAUUCUUUACAAACAUUUUUUAAAUAUUUCUCUGCUGGUGGCUGGCGAGGUUUCAGUCUCUGCUGGCCGUCGUCAACACUUCGACCAAACUUAUAAUCAUCUAUAAACUAUUAUAUGACCCAACAACUAGUUAUACCAUGUAACUAAGUAUACAUAAAAAAUGAAAAUAACAAAUUAUUCAGUUAUAAAUAACUAGUUCGUUGUGUAACAUUGUAACUAGUUAUUCCAUUGUUUUUCCAAAAUACCCAUAAUAUCCUUCGACUUUUUGUUUGAAAAUCUCAAGUGUUUUAAUCUAAUCUCUCCCUCCUGUGGCUAUUUGGCAAACCUUCAUUUCUUCCUCCUCAAAAUGUUUGGAACCGACUCGUGUCAUCCCUGUCUCCGCGAAAUCGGAAUACAAUGGCUAUGAUCACCAGAAACACCGCCUCUCGCCUCCCUCUCCUCCUCGCCAACCACCAUGCUGGCCUCGCUGCUGCUCUCCACACCACCGUCCCCUCGCCAUCCCCUGAUAACGCAACCAAACCGACUUCCUACGCCCCGCCACCGCCUCCGGCUACCCCUUCCCCCGCUGGCCUCUCCAAGCCACCCGCGCCCCU
rnacentral:lncRNA from 1 species